rnacentral:rRNA from 1 species
GCUAGCGACAGGCUUAACACAUGCAAGUCGAGGGGCAGCACAGGUAGCAAUACCGGGUGGCGACCGGCGCACGGGUGAGUAACGCGUAUGCAACUUGCCUAUCAGAGGGGGAUAACCCGGCGAAAGUCGGACUAAUACCGCAUGAAGCAGGGAUCCCGCAUGGGAAUAUUUGCUAAAGAUUCAUCGCUGAUAGAUAGGCAUGCGUUCCAUUAGGCAGUUGGCGGGGUAACGGCCCACCAAACCGACGAUGGAUAGGGGUUCUGAGAGGAAGGUCCCCCACAUUGGUACUGAGACACGGACCAAACUCCUACGGGAGGCAGCAGUGAGGAAUAUUGGUCAAUGGCCGAGAGGCUGAACCAGCCAAGUCGCGUGAGGGAUGAAGGUUCUAUGGAUCGUAAACCUCUUUUAUAAGGGAAUAAAGUGCGGGACGUGUCCCGUUUUGUAUGUACCUUAUGAAUAAGGAUCGGCUAACUCCGUGCCAGCAGCCGCGGUAAUACGGAGGAUCCGAGCGUUAUCCGGAUUUAUUGGGUUUAAAGGGUGCGUAGGCGGCCUUUUAAGUCAGCGGUGAAAGUCUGUGGCUCAACCAUAGAAUUGCCGUUGAAACUGGGGGGCUUGAGUAUGUUUGAGGCAGGCGGAAUGCGUGGUGUAGCGGUGAAAUGCAUAGAUAUCACGCAGAACCCCGAUUGCGAAGGCAGCCUGCCAAGCCAUUACUGACGCUGAUGCACGAAAGCGUGGGGAUCAAACAGGAUUAGAUACCCUGGUAGUCCACGCAGUAAACGAUGAUCACUAGCUGUUUGCGAUACACUGUAAGCGGCACAGCGAAAGCGUUAAGUGAUCCACCUGGGGAGUACGCCGGCAACGGUGAAACUCAAAGGAAUUGACGGGGGCCCGCACAAGCGGAGUAACAUGUGGUUUAAUUCGAUGAUACGCGAGGAACCUUACCCGGGUUUGAACGCAUUCGGACCGAGGUGGAAACACCUUUUCUAGCAAUAGCCGUUUGCGAGGUGCUGCAUGGUUGUCGUCAGCUCGUGCCGUGAGGUGUCGGCUUAAGUGCCAUAACGAGCGCAACCCUUGCCACUAGUUACUAACAGGUAAAGCUGAGGACUCUGGUGGGACUGCCAGCGUAAGCUGCGAGGAAGGCGGGGAUGACGUCAAAUCAGCACGGCCCUUACAUCCGGGGCGACACACGUGUUACAAUGGCGUGGACAAAGGGAGGCCACCUGGCGACAGGGAGCGAAUCCCCAAACCACGUCUCAGUUCGGAUCGGAGUCUGCAACCCGACUCCGUGAAGCUGGAUUCGCUAGUAAUCGCGCAUCAGCCAUGGCGCGGUGAAUACGUUCCCGGGCCUUGUACACACCGCCCGUCAAGCCAUGGGAGCCGGGGGUACCUGAAGUCCGUAACCGAAAGGAUCGGCCUAGGGUAAAACUGGUGACUGGGG